rnacentral:rRNA from 1 species
GACGAGCCACACGAACGUUAUUCGGAAUUACUGGGCUUAAAGGGUGCGUAGGCGGUGCGGAAAGUUGGGUGUGAAAUCCCUCGGCUCAACCGAGGAACUGCGCCCAAAACUACCGUACUCGAGGAAGAUAGAGGUGAGCGGAACUUACGGUGGAGCGGUGAAAUGCGUUGAUAUCGUAAGGAACACCCGUGGCGAAAGCGGCUCACUGGGUCUUUUCUGACGCUGAUGCACGAAAGCUAGGGGAGCAAACGGG